rnacentral:rRNA from 1 species
CCCAGGCCCGGGAACGUAUUCACCGUAGCAUUCUGAUCUACGAUUACUAGCGAUUCCGACUUCAUGGAGUCGAGUUGCAGACUCCAAUCCGGACUACGACGCACUUUAUGAGGUCCGCUUGCUCUCGCGAGGUCGCUUCUCUUUGUAUGCGCCAUUGUAGCACGUGUGUAGCCCUACUCGUAAGGGCCAUGAUGACUUGACGUCAUCCCCACCUUCCUCCAGUUUAUCACUGGCAGUCUCCUUUGAGUUCCCGGCCGGACCGCUGGCAACAAAGGAUAAGGGUUGCGCUCGUUGCGGGACUUAACCCAACAUUUCACAACACGAGCUGACGACAGCCAUGCAGCACCUGUCUCAGAGUUCCCGAAGGCACCAAAGCAUCUCUGCUAAGUUCUCUGGAUGUCAAGAGUAGGUAAGGUUCUUCGCGUUGCAUCGAAUUAAACCACAUGCUCCACCGCUUGUGCGGGCCCCCGUCAAUUCAUUUGAAU